UACGAAGGGGGCUAGCGUUGUUCGGAAUCAUUGGGCGUAAAGGGUGCGUAGGCGGCGCGGUAAGUCGGGUGUGAAAUCUCGGAGCUUAACUCCGAAACUGCAUUCGAUACUGCCGUGCUUGAGGACUGGAGAGGAGACUGGAAUUUACGGUGUAGCGGUGAAAUGCGUAGAUAUCGGAAGGAACAUCAGUGGCGAAAGCGACUUCCUGGACCAAUACUGACGCUCAUGUGCGAAAGCGUGGGGAGCAAACAGG
rnacentral:rRNA from 1 species